rnacentral:tRNA from 1 species
CGGCGCGCACACCUGGAGGACGGGGUGCCCUGGCGGGACAUGGCGGUCCUCGUGCGCGCCGGCGGCCGUUCGAUCCCGGCCGUGCGCCGG